UGUGCGUUUUUUAAGUUCUGCAUGGAUUCCUUGGUGCCCUUCAGAAAGGUGGUAUGACUACUCUCCAGUAGAGAUGCAGUAUUCUCAGUCAGGUAAGUAGACUUUAAGAGUGGCCUGGGUGGCCAGGUGACCUGGGUGGCCGGGUGGCUGGGUGGCCGGGUGGCCUGGGUAGCCUGGUGGCCAUGGCUGCUAAAGUAGCCAUCCAGCAAUCUUGGGGGUCUAGGUUAUGUAAACAAAGGCCGAGUUUGAGGAGGUAAGCCAGAAAACUCAGUGAGUAGCAUUGUGCCAGCCAGUAUUUAUUUCUUUAGCGUGGUUAGGACUUAAAUAUGGUCAAAACAUAUUCUUCUUUUUAAUUUUACACAAACAAAUAUGUUCCUAGGCUGACACCUCCGAUGCCAAGUUUCUAGGGGAAACGAAAUUCUACUGCAAAGAUAGUAAGCAGCAGAGAGCCACUGAGGAUGGAAGCGCCAUAGAGAGUGGGACGUCCCACCCGGCACCACUCUGCCCAGCACUCAGAUGGAUUCCUGAGUUCU
rnacentral:lncRNA from 1 species